GACAUUUGGUAGAGACUGUUGAAGCCACCUGGUCCCAGCAGACCCCAGAGAACAGCCAGAUUUGCUGGUGCUGCAACAAGGUCAUUAAGGGUGAGGCCUGGUGCCAGAUGUGU
ensembl:rRNA 5S_rRNA 5S ribosomal RNA